AGAGUGACAAGGUAGGGUACAGUUAAAUGUGUUAUGUUGAAGAGUAAAUUUUUAUCAUAUGUCAUGUGAUUAAAAGCUCCUGAGUCUAUUAUCCAGGUGGCAGAGUUAAUAUGAGAAAACAUGCAAAGCUUGGAAUCAGAAAUAGGGCUCUCAGUUAGCAUAGUACCAGCAAAAUUAGCAGCAUACAUGGGAGGAUGAGUCUGAGCAGUGGAGUCCCCUAACUGGGUCCGUUGUAACAAGCUCAUCAAUUGGUCAUACUGUUGUCUGCCCAACCCUGGUAUCACAUAACUCUGGCCAUCUAUGUUCGUAACAGAGUGAUGGUUUUCAGGAGGAUUUCCUUGGGGAACAGACACAUGUCCUUCAGAAGAAGGGAAAUCCACACCAGGUUUGUAACAGAGUGAUGGCUUUCAGGAGGAUUCCCUUGGGGAACAGACACAUGUCCUUCAGAAGAAGGGGAAUCCACACCAGCAGUUAGAUGAGCAGCAGCAGGUCUCCUCCCCUUGUUAAGUGUUGUACUUUGUGGAAACCCAUGAAUGUUGAAACACUUAUCAAUUAAGUGCCCAGAUUUUUUGCAGUAUCUACAGAAUAAAGGCCCUCUAGCUUGAUCAAAAUUGACUCUUUGUCUGAAAGAAGUAGAAGGAUUAGGCACUGUGGCCUUAUUGAAUCCAGCUGAAUGCCUAUUUGUGUGGACAUUGAAAGACAUAGAGUCUGAAUUAAACUGAGAAUGGGACUGGACUUGUCUCUGCUUCUCAUCAUUGAGGACCAUAUUAUAGACACUGUCAAGGGUUG
rnacentral:lncRNA from 1 species